CUUGAUUAGUUCAUAGUCAGCCAUCUCAGUGAAAGUAACGGUUUUCGUGAAGUACCCCGUUAACGGUACUACGUCACACAUUUGUGGUGAUAUUUCGUGAUAUUCUAUGAAGUAUUCUAGAGACACAUGGUUCCUGCAGAAGUUUGCCUUCAGUAAUGUCUUCAUUAACAGCCAUCGACCUAAGUUCCAUCAAGGGAGCAAUGUCAUAAAGUGAAUCCUGAUUACCUAGGAAAAGUGUUGCCACUUGCCUUCCAAGAACCCAUUGUGUAAGGUCCCAAUUGUCUGCUUUCAUGUGAGUUAGUCAUGUGCGUUUUUUUCUAGGUCCCAUGACUGGCUUUUCUUGUGAUCUAUGAGUGCUGACAUAACGUCUGUUU